AGAGUUUCGAUCCGUGGCGUCAGGACGAACGCUGGCGGCGUGCUUAACACAUGCAAGUCGAACGGAAAGGCCCUGCUUUUGUGGGGUGCUCGAGUGGCGAACGGGUGAGUAACACGUGAGUAACCUGCCCUUGACUUUGGGAUAACUUCAGGAAACUGGGGCUAAUACCGGAUAGGAGCUCCUGCUGCAUGGUGGGGGUUGGAAAGUUUCGGCGGUUGGGGAUGGACUCGCGGCUUAUCAGCUUGUUGGUGGGGUAGUGGCUUACCAAGGCUUUGACGGGUAGCCGGCCUGAGAGGGUGACCGGCCACAUUGGGACUGAGAUACGGCCCAGACUCCUACGGGAGGCAGCAGUGGGGAAUAUUGCACAAUGGGCGGAAGCCUGAUGCAGCAACGCCGCGCGCGGGAUGACGGCCUUCGGGUUGUAAACCGCUUUCGCCUGUGACGAAGCGUGAGUGACGGUAAUGGGUAAAGAAGCACCGGCUAACUACGUG
rnacentral:rRNA from 1 species